GUGAGGCUCCCAGGAGUAAUAAACUCUGGCACGAUAUGCACUGCAGUUUAUUGUUCCAUACUAACAGCACAUAUAGAGGCACCCAGUAACUGCUAAGAAAUAUACAUCCUGGCCAUGCUGCUUCUUUCCUAUAGCUGACUGCCUUCUCAGAGACCAGGACGAGGGGAGAACACAAGACUUACUGCUGCAAACCUGCACUACCGGAGGAACCUGCGAUUCAAAAGGAAGCCUCCACAUAACAGAAGAAGAUAUCUGAGUGCACAUGAGCAAGUUUUUUGUGUAGAUUGACAGAAGACCAUUUCAGAGCUGAGGAUGGUGCAAUCCAUGAGCAGAGAGAUAGCUAGCUGUGCUACUCUGAUGUCAGGCAGAAGAUAAGGAGGCAGCUUCUAAAGAAGGACUUAGAGAAGGGAUGGAUAAUUGGAUGCAGGUUCAAACCUCCUGUGGCCAAGGUGACCUAGAACAUCAGUCUCUGGCAUCCUCUGCAAGUUCCGUAACCAUUGAGGUCUUGAGCCAAAAAACAUGGGAGGGCUCUUCUCCUGUCUAACAGUUGCUAGUCAUGGGAUUUUGUCUGGUUACAAGUUUGUGACUUACACACAUGCACAGAGUAUGCAUAUGUAGCCAUGUAUCAGCACAGCCCAUACAUAGCUUCCUGCUACAUGCUCAAGGCGGGUCCACACUGCCCAUAGAAUAGAACUGCAAACUGCACAUACAUGCUAAGAAAGCCACUUACACAACUGGAAAAACUACCAUCUGAGCACACAUACUGGAACAGGACUUCACGCUCGGUAUCCAGUCUAAGCAUAGAAAUGGUGAGGGGAGAAUGAGGAAAAGUUAAAAAAAAAAUUACUCCUCUCCAAAACACCUAUGGUUCUAUAAGAGUAAGUGCAGCUAGUUUAAUUGAUGCACAUCCUUAUAUAGGGCUGCUGUGAGUUUCUCUGGUCUUCUCUUGUUACAGAGGGGAGAGAAACCAUGAGACUGUACCUGGCCGACUGCUGUCCUGCCUGUCAGAUCCCUACUAGGAACAAGAGACAAGGAAGAGAAACAGUCCAAACAUGGCUUGUCAAGGAAUUGUACGCAUUGGCACAUUUAAAAAAAUUGCAUGUCAGACUCAUUGCCAAUGAUCUACUGACUAGACACUCUACUAUGUCCAAUUGGUGCAUCCAAUGUACCUGCUACUGUGUAAUUUCAGUGCAUUUGGAAAUUAGAUUUAUAUGCUAUAAUUCUCUAAAUACAAUUUAAUCUGUGUAGAACUAAUACUGUCCUAAGAGUACCUUUAUAUACCUAUUUUGCCUUAGCUAAGAGGAAUCUAUGUUUUACUGCUUCAGGGUAAUGCAAUCAUUAAAAUUUAUGU